CGCUUUGGGGGGCCCCGUGCCGCACGGGGGGCGUCCGGAGACGCGGCUGGAGAGGCGAGUGGCGACCCUGGGACGGGAACCAGCUGUUGGAGCCCAGCAAAACAGCUGUUACCCGCUGCUCCGUGCAUUUCCGCCCCCAGAUAUUCUGUCCGGAUUUAUACACCCUGUCUGUCUGUCUGUCCUCACCCCCCCUCUGUCUGUCCAUCCCUAUACUCGCUGUCUACCUAUUUAUCUCCCCAUACACCCCCUCUGUCUAUCUAUCCAUCCCUAGACACUCACUCCAUCCCUCUACACUGUAUCCAUCUGUCUGUCUGUCUAUCCCCAAACACCCCAUCUAUCUAUCACCUGUACUCCCCCAUCUAUCUAUCCAUCUCUCUACAUUUUCUCUAUCUAUCUGUCUAUCCCUUUAUUUCUCCGGGAAUAUCUUUCUUUCUCAAACCAAACCCAAGAGCCAAAGGGUUAAAAGUCCAGGCUGCAGCCCGCUGGCCCCAGGCCCCUGGAUGUGACUGGACGCGCUUCAGAAAGGAGGGAGGCGAGGACACCUUAACAAGUCCGGGGACUCUCGGGACAGCCCAGAUGUGAGAGGAAGAGGAAGUCCUCUGAAGAAGUGAAGCAAGGAGCUUCCCCCUCAAAGCAAGGAGCAAAAUGGGCUCUGUGCAUGGAGGCUGGAUCAGCAGGUUUUGCAUGGCUGGACUGGCCCUGGCUCUGGCCCUGCUGACGGCCCCGCUCAGCCAGGGCAGCAGGAAGGU